rnacentral:snRNA from 1 species
AUACCUUUCUCGGCCUUUUGGCUAAGAUCAAGUGUAGUAUCUGUUCUUAUCAGUUUAAUAUCUGAUACGUGCCCCCAUCACAAUAGCUUGCUAUUGGGGUCUUUGAGCGUCGCCUUGGCGUUGCACUACUGCCUUGGCCUGGCGCACCCCUC